rnacentral:tRNA from 1 species
GUUUUUAUAGUGUAUUUUAAAGCACAUAAGAUUUUCAAUCUUCUAGAACAUUGUUUGAAUGUUAAGAACA